UGGGGAAUAUUGGACAAUGGGCGCAAGCCUGAUCCAGCAAUGCCGCGUGAGUGAUGAAGGCCUUAGGGUUGUAAAGCUCUUUUACCAGGGAUGAUAAUGACAGUACCUGGAGAAUAAGCUCCGGCUAACUCCGUGCCAGCAGCCGCGGUAAUACGGAGGGAGCUAGCGUUGUUCGGAAUUACUGGGCGUAAAGCGCACGUAGGCGGUUAUUCAAGUCAGAGGUGAAAGCCCGGGGCUCAACCCCGGAACUGCCUUUGAAACUAGAUGACUGGAAUCUUGGAGAGGUCAGUGGAAUUCCGAGUGUAGAGGUGAAAUUCGUAGAUAUUCGGAAGAACACCAGUGGCGAAGGCGACUGACUGGACAAGUAUUGACGCUGAGGUGCGAAAGCGUGGGGAGCAAACA
rnacentral:rRNA from 1 species